AGGGAAUUUUCCGCAAUGGGCGAAAGCCUGACGGAGCAACGCCGCGUGAGGGAUGAAGGUUUUCGGAUCAUAAACCUCUGUCUUCAGGGACGAUAAUGACGGUACCUGAGGAGGAAGCCACGGCUAACUACGUGCCAGCAGCCGCGGUAAUACGUAGGUGGCGAGCGUUGUCCGGAAUUACUGGGCGUAAAGGGCGUGUAGGCGGUUUUCUAAGUCAGACGUGAAAACUCCGGGCUUAACCCGGAACCUGCGUUUGAAACUGGGAGACUUGAGGACCGGAGAGGGUGGUGGAAUUCCCAGUGUAGCGGUGAAAUGCGUAGAUAUUGGGAGGAACACCAGUGGCGAAGGCGACUACCUGGACGGCACCUGACGCUGAGGCGCGAAAGCUAGGGGAGCAAAC
rnacentral:rRNA from 1 species